AGAGUUUGAUCCUGGCUCAGAUUGAACGCUGGCGGUAUGCUUAACACAUGCAAGUCGAACGGAAACGAUACUAGCUUGCUAGUAGGCGUCGAGUGGCGGACGGGUGAGUAACGCGUAGGAAUCUACCUAAUAGUGGGGGAUAGCCCGGAGAAAUCCGGAUUAAUACCGCAUAAUCUCUAUGGAGUAAAGGGGCCCUCUUCUUGAAAGGUUUCGCUAUCAGAUGAGCCUGCGUAAGAUUAGCUAGUUGGUGAGGUAAAAGCUCACCAAGGCGACGAUCUUUAGCUGGUCUGAGAGGAUGAUCAGCCACACUGGGACUGAGACACGGCCCAGACGACUACGGGAGGCAGCAGUGGGGAAUAUUGGACAAUGGGGGCAACCCUGAUCCAGCAAUACCGCGUGUGUGAAGAAGGCCUGAGGGUUGUAAAGCACUUUCAAUUGUGAAGAAAAGUUAAUAGUUAAUAACUAUUAGACAUUGACGUAACUUUAGAAGAAGC
rnacentral:rRNA from 1 species